AUUGAACGCUGGCGGCAGGCCUAACACAUGCAAGUCGAGCGGAUGAAGGGAUCUUGCUCCUGUAUUCAGCGGCGGACGGGUGUGUAAUGCCUAUGAAUCUGCCUGGUAGUGGGGGAUAACUUCCGGAAACGGGCGCUAAUCCCGCAUACGUCCUGAGGGAGAAAGUGGGGGUUCUUCGGACCUCACGCUAUCAGAUGAGCCUAGGUCGUAUUAGCUAGUUGGUGGGGUAAAGGCCUACCAAGGCGACGAUCCGUAACUGGUCUGAGAGGAUGAUCAGUCACACUGGAAGUGAGACACGGUCCAGACUCCUAGGGGAGGCAGCAGUGGGGAAGGGUGGAAGAUGGGCGAAAGCCUGAACCAGCCAUGCAGGGUGGGUGAAGAAGGUCUGCGGAUGGUAAAGCACUUUAAGUGGGGAGGAAGGGCAGUAAGAGAAGACAUUGCUGUGGUGACGGUACCAACAGAAGAAGCACCGGCUAACUUCGUG
rnacentral:rRNA from 1 species